UACGGAGGAUGCGAGCGUUAUCCGGAAUGAUUGGGCGUAAAGGGUGCGCAGGCGGUCUGUUAAGUCAGCGGUCAAAGCCCGGGGCUCAACCCCGGCGAGCCGUUGAAACUGCCGUGCUAGAGAGGAAGAGAAGUAGGCGGAAUGCGCAGUGUAGCGGUGAAAUGCUUAGAUAUUGCGCAGAACUCCGAUUGCGAAGGCAGCCUACCGGCUUCUGUCUGACGCUGAGGCACGAAAGCGUGGGUAUCGAACAGG
rnacentral:rRNA from 1 species